rnacentral:rRNA from 1 species
AUGCUAAGAAGUGGAUGGGCGAGGAAGUCAUGGUGGAUUUCAAGAAGUACAUCAAAUGGCUGGACCAAUUCAAAGUAUGUGGAGUAUGGCCUGGAUGAGCUUCAACAUCAGUGCUUCAGCGUGGAGAGCUAUGACCAUACCUUCCAUCACUUCAACUUCACCGUUAAGAUGAAGAAGCCAGACAGUGAUUGGUCAUCGACGCCCUAUUUUGCUCAAGUGAAAGAGAUCUAUGGAAGAAAAUAUUAUACCUGCUACAAACUAAGCUCAUAUGAUGAUGGUCACUGCUACGCAUGCAUAAAUCAAGGAAUGCAUGCACUGAAGCACCCUAUUGGUGAGUUCGGGUACGACAGUGGCUAUCCUGACACGGGGUCCCCCUUCAUUUAUCUUAGUGAUGAUGAAUAA